CUCGCUAGUGAAAAUUGAAGCCUAGUUUCUGCUCAUCAUUUCCCCAGCCUGAAGGGCCUCAGAUGACUAGUUCACAGCUCCUGCCUUGCUCACUUUGCAUGGCACCUUGCCCAGCCUUGACCAUCGUCAGAGCUCACACACAGAACCCAUGGAAGACUGCCAAGCAGGGCACUAGGGAGAAGGCUCUCUGGUGAUCACAUCACUUGAUGUGGCCAUAGGGACUGUAAAAGGUAUCUCACCUACUACCUGCUCUACUCACCCACAGGGCUGGACAAGAGGUGGCCAGGCUCAUCCUAUGUGACCCCUGGUCACACUCAUGACUCACUGGACCGAGAGAGUACACCCAGCCUGGGCAGAGACAGCUGAAUGAGGACAUGACAUGAAAGUCUGGGCUCAUGGCUUCCUCCCACCCGCCACGGCAUGAACCCACAGGAACAACAGUCAUGCUGGCAAAACCAGGGGGAAAGGGGUAGGGCAUGGUUGAUUUACCGACAUACCCUUCCUCAGUUUCAGAGGGGAUGGAAGCUUCCUUCUACCUUGGUGCCCUCUUCUCUGCCCCCGAUGGGGGGGGGAGAUAAAUUCUGGACAAGGCGGGCAUCAGGAAAGAAGUGAGAGCCGCAGAGCCCCACACCCACCCGAAUCUCCAACCUCCAAGCUCUUGUUCCUGUGGCAACACCUCAUGUACUUCGUCUCUACGGAGGAGUAUCUCAAUACAAAGAUAAAGUGGCUCCUACCCUUUGGCACAUUGUGGGGUCUAAUUGACAAGGCAGGGUCUCACUAUGCAGCAAAAGCUGGCUUCACAUUAGAAUCAGUUCACUGGAUCUGCUGGAGCACACCUUUAAUCCCAACACUCGCGAAGCAGAAGCAGGUAGAUCUCUAUGAGUCUGAGGGUCUACAGAGAGUUCCAUGACAGCCAAGACUACACAGAGAAACCCGU